rnacentral:rRNA from 1 species
GAUGAACGCUGGCGGCGUGCCUAAUACAUGCAAGUCGAGCGAACGGACGAGAAGCUUGCUUCUCUGAUGUUAGCGGCGGACGGGUGAGUAACACGUGGAUAACCUACCUAUAAGACUGGGAUAACUUCGGGAAACCGGAGCUAAUACCGGAUAAUAUUUUGAACCGCAUGGUUCAAAAGUGAAAGACGGUCUUGCUGUCACUUAUAGAUGGAUCCGCGCUGCGUUAGCUAGUUGGUAGGGUAACGGCUUACCAAGGCAACGAUGCAUAGCCGACCUGAGAGGGUGAUCGGCCACACUGGAACUGAGACACGGUCCAGACUCCUACGGGAGGCAGCAGUAGGGAAUCUUCCGCAAUGGGCGAAAGCCUGACGGAGCAACGCCGCGUGAGUGAUGAAGGUCUUCGGAUCGUAAAACUCUGUUAUUAGGGAAGAACAUAUGUGUAAGUAACUGUGCACAUCUUGACGGUACCUAAUCAGAAAGCCACGGCUAACUACGUG